rnacentral:rRNA from 1 species
UACGGGGGGAGCAAGCGUUGUUCGGAUUUACAGGGCGUAAAGGGCGCGUAGGCGGUCAGCACAAGUCAGUUGUGAAAUCUCCGGGCUUAACUCGGAAAGGUCAACUGAUACUGUGCGACUAGAGUGCAGAAGGGGCAACUGGAAUUCUCGGUGUAGCGGUGAAAUGCGUAGAUAUCGAGAGGAACACCUGCGGCGAAGGCGGGUUGCUGGGCUGACACUGACGCUGAUGCGCGAAAGCCAGGGGAGCGAACGGG